AGAGUUUGAUCCUGGCUCAGAACGAACGCUGGCGGCAGGCUUAACACAUGCAAGUCGAACGCAUCCUUCGGGGUGAGUGGCAGACGGGUGAGUAACACGUGGGAACGUACCCUUUUGUUCGGAAUAACCCAGGGAAACUUGGGCUAAUACCGGAUACGCCCUUUUUGGGGAAAGAUUGAUCGCAGAAGGAUCGGCCCGCGUCUGAUUAGCUAGUUGGUGAGGUAAAGGCUCACCAAGGCGACGAUCAGUAGCUGGUCUGAGAGGAUGAUCAGCCACACUGGGACUGAGACACGGCCCAGACUCCUACGGGAGGCAGCAGUGGGGAAUAUUGGACAAUGGGCGCAAGCCUGAUCCAGCCAUGCCGCGUGAGUGAUGAAGGCCUUAGGGUUGUAAAGCUCUUUCGUCCGGGACGAUAAUGACGGUACCGGAAGAAGAAGCCCCGGCUAACUUCGUGCCAGCAGCCGCGGUAAUACGAAGGGGGCUAGCGUUGUUCGGAAUCACUGGGCGUAAAGGGCGCGUAGGCGGCUAUGUCAGUCGGGGGUGAAAGCCUGUGGCUCAACCACAGAAUUGCCUUCGAUACUGCAUGGCUUGAGACCGGAAGAGGUAAGUGGAACUGCGAGUGUAGAGGUGAAAUUCGUAGAUAUUCGCAAGAACACCAGUGGCGAAGGCGGCUUACUGGUCCGGUUCUGACGCUGAGGCGCGAAAGCGUGGGGAGCAAACAGGAUUAGAUACCCUAGUAGUCC
rnacentral:rRNA from 1 species